CCUACGGGUGGCAGCAGUGAGGAAUAUUGGUCAAUGGCCGAGAGUCUGAACCAGCCAAGUCGCGUGAGGGAAGACGGCCCUACGGGUUGUAAGCUUCUUUUGUAGGGGAGCAAAACGUGCCCCGUGUGAGCAUUUGAACGUAACCUAAGAAUAAGGCUCGGCUAACUCCGUGCCCGCAGCCGCGGUAAUACGGAGGAUGCGAGCGUUAUCCGGGUUUAUUGGGGUUAAAGGGUGCGUAGGGGGAAGGUGAAGUCAGUGGUGAAAGUGCGGGGCUCAACCCCAGGAUUGCAGUUGAAACUGGCAGGCUUGAGUGCAGGAGAGGUAUGCGGAAUGCGUGGUGUAGCGGUGAAAUGCAUAGAUAUCAGGCAGAACACCGAUUGCGAAGGCAGCUUACCGGACUGCAACUGACGCUGAGGCUCGAAAGCGUGGGGAGCAAACAGGAUUAGAUACCCUUGUAGUC
rnacentral:rRNA from 1 species